rnacentral:rRNA from 1 species
CCCAGGGAUUGCUCUAGUAACGGCNAGUGAAGCAGCAAUAGCUCAAAAUUUGAAAUCUGGCGUCUUCGACGUCCGAGUUGUAAUUUGUAGAGGAUGCUUCUGAGUAACCACCGACCUAAGUUCCUUGGAACAGGACGUCAUAGAGGGUGAGAAUCCCGUAUGCGGUCGGAAAGGUGCUCUAUACGUAGCUCCUUCGACGAGUCGAGUUGUUUGGGAAUGCAGCUCUAAAUGGGAGGUAAAUUUCUUCUAAAGCUAAAUAUUGGCCAGAGACCGAUAGCGCACAAGUAGAGUGAUCGAAAGAUGAAAAGCACUUUGGAAAGAGAGUUAAAAAGCACGUGAAAUUGUUAAAAGGGAAGGGAUUGCAACCAGACUUGCUCGCGGUGUUCCGCCGGUCUUCUGACCGGUCUACUCGCCGCGUUGCAGGCCAGCAUCGUCUGGUGCCGCUGGAUAAGACUUGAGGAAUGUAGCUCCCUCGG